CCCCUCUCAGGGUCGCACCUGGAGAGUUUCCAGUACUAUACCAGUCUCAACUUUGGGAGGGAGAGUCAAGCAGAGGCCUAUCCAUUCCAUUCCUAGCCAGUGGCUAGCGAGUGGAAGGCAAUCUGCAACAAGG